UGAACGCUGGCGGCAGGCCUAACACAUGCAAGUCGAGCGGUAGAGAGAAGCUUGCUUCUCUUGAGAGCGGCGGACGGGUGAGUAAUGCCUAGGAAUCUGCCUGGUAGUGGGGGAUAACGUUCGGAAACGGACGCUAAUACCGCAUACGUCCUACGGGAGAAAGCAGGGGACCUUCGGGCCUUGCGCUGAUGGAUAAGCCCAGGUGGGAUUAGCUAGUAGGUGAGGUAAAGGCUCACCUAGGCGACGAUCCCUAGCUGGUCUGAGAGGAUGAUCAGUCACACUGGAACUGAGACACGGUCCAGACUCCUACGGGAGGCAGCAGUGGGGAAUAUUGGACAAUGGGCGAAAGCCUGAUCCAGCCAUGCCGCGUGUGUGAAGAAGGUCUUCGGAUUGUAAAGCACUUUAAGUUGGGAGGAAGGGCAGUUACCUAAUACGUAAUUGUUUUGACGUUACCGACAGAAUAAGCACCGGCUAACUCU
rnacentral:rRNA from 1 species